UACGGGGGGGGCAAGCGUUGUUCGGAAUUACUGGGCGUAAAGGGCUUGUAGGCGGCCAACUAAGUCAGACGGGAAAUCCCCAGGCUCAACCUGGGAACUGCGUCUGAUACUGGAUGGCUUGAAUCCGGGAGAGGGAUGCAGAAUUCCAGGUGUAGCGGUGAAAUGCGUAGAUAUCUGGAGGAAUACCGGUGGCGAAGGCGGCAUCCUGGACCGGCAUUGACGCUGAGGAGCGAAAGCUAGGGGAGCAAACGGG
rnacentral:rRNA from 1 species